rnacentral:lncRNA from 1 species
CAAGUACUCCGUCAUGAUCAACAAGGCCACGCCCUACAACUACCCAGUAGAGGCGGGGUUUCACCGUGUUAGCCAGGAUUGUCUCGAUCUCCUGACCUUGUGAUCCACUCACCUCGGCCUCCCAAAGUGCUGGGAUUACAGGGCCCUGGAGACGUGCUGGUCUCAGUGGCCCACCUCCUGCCCCACAGUGCCCGUCCGUGAUGAUGGGAACAUGCCCGACGUGCCCAGCCACCCCCAGGACCCUCAGGGCCCCAGCCUGGAGUGGCUGAAGAAACUGUGAGCACCUCCACUGACAGAGGCGGCCCCUCCCACGGCUCCCAAUAAAAAUGUGAAAACCAA